rnacentral:rRNA from 1 species
UACGAAGGGGGCUAGCGUUGCUCGGAAUCACUGGGCGUAAAGGGCGCGUAGGCGGGUUUUUAAGUCAGAGGUGAAAUCCUGGAGCUCAACUCCAGAACUGCCUUUGAUACUGAGAAUCUUGAGUACGGGAGAGGUGAGUGGAACUGCGAGUGUAGAGGUGAAAUUCGUAGAUAUUCGCAAGAACACCAGUGGCGAAGGCGGCUCACUGGCCCGUAACUGACGCUGAGGCACGAAAGCGUGGGGAGCAAACAGG